rnacentral:rRNA from 1 species
GGAUCCAGACUUUGAUCCUGGCUCAGGAUGAACGCUAGCUACAGGCUUAACACAUGCAAGUCGAGGGGAAACGAUAGAGAAAGCUUGCUUUUUCUAGGCGUCGACCGGCGCACGGGUGAGUAACGCGUAUCCAACCUGCCCAUCACUUGGGGAUAACCUUGCGAAAGUAAGACUAAUACCCAAUGAUAUCUCUAGAAGACAUCUGAAGGAGAUUAAAGAUUUAUCGGUGAUGGAUGGGGAUGCGUCUGAUUAGCUUGUUGGCGGGGUAACGGCCCACCAAGGCGACGAUCAGUAGGGGUUCUGAGAGGAAGGUCCCCCACAUUGGAACUGAGACACGGUCCAAACUCCUACGGGAGGCAGCAGUGAGGAAUAUUGGUCAAUGGGCGAGAGCCUGAACCAGCCAAGUAGCGUGCAGGAAGACGGCCCUAUGGGUUGUAAACUGCUUUUAUAAGGGAAUAAAGUGAGAGUCGUGACUCUUUUUGCAUGUACCUUAUGAAUAAGGACCGGCUAAUUCCGUGCCAGCAGCCGCGGUAAUACGGAAGGUCCGGGCGUUAUCCGGAUUUAUUGGGUUUAAAGGGAGCGUAGGCCGGAGAUUAAGCGUGUUGUGAAAUGUAGACGCUCAACGUCUGCACUGCAGCGCGAACUGGUUUCCUUGAGUACGCACAAAGUGGGCGGAAUUCGUGGUGUAGCGGUGAAAUGCUUAGAUAUCACGAAGAACUCCGAUUGCGAAGGCAGCUCACUGGAGCGCAACUGACGCUGAAGCUCGAAAGUGCGGGUAUCGAACAGGAUUAGAUACCCUGGUAGUCCGCACGGUAAACGAUGGAUGCCCGCUGUUGGUCUGAAUAGGUCAGCGGCCAAGCGAAAGCAUUAAGCAUCCCACCUGGGGAGUACGCCGGCAACGGUGCAACUCAAAUGAAUUGACGG